rnacentral:lncRNA from 1 species
GGGGAGAUGGGGCUGCUGCGUUUCUUGUCGAAAGAAGCUUUUGGUUUUCUAUUUUCUUUUAUUUUUUUGGUUAUGUUUUUCUAGGGUUUCUUGAGAAGACGAUGGGUUUUCUUUUGGCUGUUUUUUUGUUGGUUUUCUUAAGUGGUUUUAUUUGUUUUUUGCAAUUCUCCACCGUUGUUUUGUGUCGCUUGGUGAUAGAUGUAACUCAUGCAUAUAUG